GCCUUCUCAAUGAGCUCCUUCCUGCUGAUAAUCCAGUGGCAGGCUAUGGAUUCGCACGAGAAGAAGAGUAAAACUGCAGCCCUGACCUUGGGUGCCUUGUCUGCUUCAGAUGAGCUACUGUCAUUGCUGUGGGACAACA
ensembl:snoRNA SNORA75 Small nucleolar RNA SNORA75